UACAGAGGGUGCAAGCGUUGUUCGGAAUUAUUGGGCGUAAAGGGAGUGUAGGCGGUUCGUUAAGUCUUCUGUGAAAUCUACGGGCUUAGCCUGUAACGUGCAGAGGAAACUAGCGGGCUUGAGUGUCGGAGAGGAUGGGGGAAUACCCAGUGUAGAGGUGAAAUUCGUAGAGAUUGGGUGGAACACCAGUGGCGAAGGCGCCUAUCUGGCUGACAACUGACGCUGAGACUCGAAAGCAUGGGGAGCAAACAGG
rnacentral:rRNA from 1 species